UUGGGAUCACACAAAAAAAUAUCAAAUAAUUACACACGUGCAUGAACAUGCUUACUAGUUAGGUUAUCGUUCUACAUAAAUGUAAUAAAAUAAAUUUUAAUCAUUAUUAAGUUUAUAAUUAUCUUUCUGAUUAUUUAAAAAAAAACACUGAUGUUUGUUUUAAUUUAAACCGCUUUGAAAAUAGCAAUAUAUAUGAUACAAUUAGAACUCGCUAAUUGCAUUUAUAUCAUAUGUCUACAAAAAAAGAUAGAUUUUGUUUAUUAGAAAGACAUUUUGUAACACGACUAAUGUCUGCGUAUUUUGUCAUGUUUGUUAUUUUAUACAAUGUGGAUAAACUGACUUUUUCUCAUAUUUAUGUGAACAACUCGGAUUUUUUGUAUUCAAUUGAAAAAGCAGACUUGCAAUUGGCGAGGUUUGAAUGUAUUUGACUUCGUCACAUGACAGCUCGCAUAUCUGUCAAGUCAAAAACGUAAACAAACACGGACAACCGCCCGUAAAGAUUGUGUGCAAAAUAAUCGUGAAAUUUUAUGUGAAAACUCGAGAAAAGGAAAAACAUCAUUUCAUCCCGAAAUUUGGCAACAUUCGUCCAAGUAUGGUUGAGCAGCUGUGUGUGUGUGUAUGACGACGGAAUACGAUGCCGUUUCUACAAUAAUCAUUAAAGCCGGCUGUGAUCGUGAUCGGCACAUUCUCAACUGAACCAACACACCGGUCGUUGUGUAUCUUCAAGCAAACCAACGUUGCCAUACACUACAAAAUAGCAUGGAAAGGAAAGUAUUAUAAAAUAAUGUCAUAUAUGAAAGCAUUCUAAUCUUUCCUUUUUAUUUUUCCACUGCAAACAGGACAUUGGAUCACCGCAUCGACAAGUGGUUUUUAUGUGCAAGUGUUGUUAAGAAGUGUGUUGUACGGUGUAUUAUGUGUUUUAUUUUAUUUGUAUCGCUUUGCAAGUGGUACAAUUAGUGCGUUUAAUCGUUGUGAUACAGCUAACUAAAGAUUUACCCGAGCAUUAGAAGCGGCAACAAUAAAUGUGCCUGACGCAAAGACAACAACGCCGUCGGCAUCCGUUGAUACCAUCCAAAGUGAUGGUUGAAAUCGUAUUUAAACGUGUAAAACCAUAUAUUGGGGCAUGUAAGUAUUGAAUAAAAGCUAAAUAAAAUACAUUUGAUCGUUUUACUGGACAAUGUGCAUCGAAAUUUUAAAAAAAGUGUGUGUGUUUUUGUUUACAUCCGAAUACAGAACCCACAGCGCUAUACUGUGGUUCGAGCACUCGCUAAGUAACGCUUGAGCUUUGAGCUUUCAUUGAGCUUACAUAGAAUGUUACACGCUACCUGCUCACUAAGGACUGCUAUCGAGCAGUGUUAUGAGCAGGUAGCGAGCAGUAACGCCUCCAUACAAAAAUCGCGAAACGUAACGCUCCAAUGCUAUU